rnacentral:misc_RNA from 1 species
CGGAUACGUGGCUUCGGAAUAUCGCUCGGUAAACUUACUGUAAUAGUUCGUGAGCCCUAAAAACCCUUUCAGCUGCUUCACACUGCUUGGUCUGGGAAACUCCGCUAUUGCCCGGAUUUUAUCCCGCUGCGGUUUUAUCCCGUUGCGAGUGAUUACGUGGCCCAAAAAAUCUAUUUCUCUCCGGAAAAACUCAGACUUUUUGAAAUUGAUCGUCAGAUUAUAUUUCCUACAUACGUCGAACAACCGCCUCAGGAUCAAGUCCAACGCCCUGAUGAGGCUCGCUAAACUCGUACUUAGCCCAUAUGGGGUAACGGUGAACUGGUACGUCCUCCCUUCGUACAUGAACGCGGUGUACUUCCUAGAUUCCGGGUGCAACGGCACCUGCCAAAAACUUGCG